GACGUAGGGCGCGAGCGUUGUCCGGAAUUAUUGGGCGUAAAGAGCUCGUAGGCGGCCUGUUGCGUCCGCUGUGAAAGCCCGGGGCUUAACCCCGGGUCUGCAGUGGAUACGGGGAGGCUAGAGGUAGGUAGGGGAGAAUGGAAUUCCCGGUGUAGCGGUGAAAUGCGCAGAUAUCGGGAGGAACACCGGUGGCGAAGGCGGUUCUCUGGGCCUUACCUGACGCUGAGGAGCGAAAGCGUGGGGAGCGAACAGG
rnacentral:rRNA from 1 species